AACACGCUCCUUAGAUCCACCUCUGGAGGAUGCUGUUCUCUGAGCAGUGCUCCUCAGCAGCUUGCUGGCUGUACAGUUGGAGGUGCUUGAGUCAUUGGCGUGUGAGAACAGUCUACCUGUCCUUCAGCCCACCCGCAGCACUGGCAACCCUGUCCUCUACAGGCAGGGAGCUCCUGGUGCUGCAAGCCUGGGGGACAGACAUG
ensembl:snoRNA Small nucleolar RNA SNORA53